rnacentral:lncRNA from 1 species
GGCCAAGUACGAAGUUGAAGAGCAUUGAGGACCAAAAUUCCUUAACGUUUUGCCAAAUACAGCUAAGAAAUUACCUUUACAUUGUCUCGAUUUUUCCUGAUAAAAUCUCAAGAUCAAUUCAUCUGUCCCUGAUACAUAUUUAAAAAGUUUUCUAUAAAUGUUAUGUGGUGGUGAUACAUAUGUCCUACAAUUUUUUUUUAUGAUUAAAAAUUGAAUAGGAAUGCAAGAUCUAUCAAAUAGCUAGAAGCAGUGUGGGUUCAUAAGUGGAACAGGAUGAAGAGACACUAAUAGAUGUCGGCAUCAGAUGAGGGGUUUAAAGGGGGAAUAUAUAACAGCAAUAGGUCAUCAAAUAAGACAAAAUUGUUUCAAAAAGAAAAACAAAUAAUAUAACUUUAAAAAUAUACUUUAUUAAGAAAUUUUGAUGUACGAAAAAGCAGUAACUACUUCCAAAAUGUUUACAGCACAAAAACAUGCUUAACAAGUCUGGCAAAUAUUACCGUUAUAUGUACAGUGGCAAGCAAAUUUCACUCUAAAUGUUGGUGAGAAAAAUCCAAACCACUUGCUAGUACAGUACUGGAAACUUUUUACCAGAACAGAAUUUACACCUUGCUAUCAACUUUAAACUCUCAUCCAUUAAUUUACAUAAUGGCAUUCUUUCAUGGGGAAAAAGAUCAAUUUCUGUAAUUAAAGAUAAGCCUUUUUCCAAAAUAGAAUAAAUUUGAGAAAAAAAUCUAAAAUUUUAUUACUUUGCAAUAUAACAGAUUGUAAAAAUGGAAUUAUGCUUCUUUCCGAAUUAAAGAUUCUAAAAGCUUGAAUUUAAAAAAAA